rnacentral:rRNA from 1 species
AGAGUUUGAUCCUGGCUCAGGAUGAACGCUAGCUACAGGCUUAACACAUGCAAGUCGAGGGGCAUCAGUUUGGUUUGCUUGCAAACCAAAGCUGGCGACCGGCGCACGGGUGAGUAACACGUAUCCAACCUGCCUCAUACUCGGGGAUAGCCUUUCGAAAGAAAGAUUAAUAUCCGAUAGCAUAUAUUUCCCGCAUGGGUUUUAUAUUAAAGAAAUUCGGUAUGAGAUGGGGAUGCGUUCCAUUAGUUUGUUGGGGGGGUAACGGCCCACCAAGACUACGAUGGAUAGGGGUUCUGAGAGGAAGGUCCCCCACAUUGGAACUGAGACACGGUCCAAACUCCUACGGGAGGCAGCAGUGAGGAAUAUUGGUCAAUGGACGCGAGUCUGAACCAGCCAAGUAGCGUGAAGGAUGACUGCCCUAUGGGUUGUAAACUUCUUUUAUAUGGGAAUAAAGUUGUCCACGUGUGGAUUUUUGUAUGUACCAUAUGAAUAAGGAUCGGCUAACUCCGUGCCAGCAGCCGCGGUAAUACGGAGGAUCCGAGCGUUAUCCGGAUUUAUUGGGUUUAAAGGGAGCGUAGGCGGAUUGUUAAGUCAGUUGUGAAAGUUUGCGGCUCAACCGUAAAAUUGCAGUUGAUACUGGCAGUCUUGAGUGCAGUAGAGGUGGGCGGAAUUCGUGGUGUAGCGGUGAAAUGCUUAGAUAUCACGAAGAACUCCGAUUGCGAAGGCAGCUCACUGGAGUGUAACUGACGCUGAUGCUCGAAAGUGUGGGUAUCAAACAGGAUUAGAUACCCUGGUAGUCCACACAGUAAACGAUGAAUACUCGCUGUUUGCGAUAUACAGUAAGCGGCCAAGCGAAAGCAUUAAGUAUUCCACCUGGGGAGUACGCCGGCAACGGUGAAACUCAAAGGAAUUGACGGGGGCCCGCACAAGCGGAGGAACAUGUGGUUUAAUUCGAUGAUACGCGAGGA